GGAAGCACCGAAGGACAUGGAACUGUGGGGGACCUCAGGACAGGGAGAGGUCAGGCAUGACCUGGCCUGCCCCAGGGUGGGACAGAGACACACACACACGUGUGCACACACACGUACACACUGUACCUUCACAGAGGAGUUGCAAGGGGGAGUCUUUUCUUUUGUCUCUAAAUCUCCAUGUCUACAGUGUUAAUUUUUUGCUAUUUUUUUGUUUCUUUGACAGUGACAUAAACUGAGGUAAACAUCAUGACCGACACCUCUCCUAAGGGGCUAACGAUGCCAAGCCGACCAAUAGACACUGACCACGGCAGAUGCCCCCUGCCCCCGAAUCCUCCAGGAACAGAAACUGAGAAGGCGGGACCCCUGGAAGCUGACAUGCUGACCCCAACAGAACCCAGGAGAAAUGACUGGCAGUCAUGUCGCUGUCUGCGGGCAUCCAGGCCCAGGAUCUGGGCUGGGGCAGCGAGGACUGGGAGGGUCCUGGGGAGGCUCCACUGCCCACCUUCAGCUCCACACUUGGUCCCUUGCUCUAGAGAUGCAGGGGCAGCUGAGACGCUUGCUCUGGAGCCCUUCUGUCCCCCGGAGUCCUUGUUGGGGGUCGGGGAGCCGGGAGGGGGUGGGAGAGGCCCAAUGGCCUC
rnacentral:lncRNA from 1 species